CUCAGGAUGAACGCUAGCGGCAGGCUUAACACAUGCAAGUCGAGGGGCAGCGGGAUGUAGCAAUACAUUGCCGGCGACCGGCGGAUGGGUGCGUAACGCGUAUGCAACCUACCUUAUACAGGGGAAUAACCUUUCGAAAGGGAGACUAACACCCCAUGGUAUUGAUUUAAGGCAUCUUAGAUUAAUUAAAUAUUUAUAGGUAUAAGAUGGGCAUGCGUAUGAUUAGCUAGUUGGUAAGGUAACGGCUUACCAAGGCGACGAUCAUUAGGGGUUCUGAGAGGAAGGUCCCCCACACUGGUACUGAGACACGGACCAGACUCCUACGGGAGGCAGCAGUGAGGAAUAUUGGUCAAUGGGCGCAAGCCUGAACCAGCCAUGCCGCGUGCAGGAAAGACGGCCUUAUGGGUUGUAAACUGCUUUUACAUAAGACUAACCGUAUAUUUGCGAAUAUACCUGAAUGUAUUAUGAGAAUAAGGAUCGGCUAACUCCGUGCCAGCCGCAGC
rnacentral:rRNA from 1 species